rnacentral:lncRNA from 1 species
CCGGCUGCAAUUAAAUGGGGGUGUGCGUUCCUUUUUCCUGCAACCUUUUCCUAGGGAUCCCAAUUCCCUCCAGGUUAUCAUCAGCUCCAUCCCCAUGAUUUCUUCAUGUGACCUUCAUGUUGGAUCUCGCUGGAUCUCUGCUACUUACCGCAAAAUACUAGGGCCGAGGGUGCAGCUGGUGUUCCUAUGCACGCUACUUUCCAAUAUGGCUGCUGCGCUGCUCCACCAGUCACUUGAGAGGAUCUGAGAUGGUCAUGGGCGGUGGAUCCAGAGGAUUUUUUUACUGGAGCACCUUGUCCUCAUAUUGCUGUAUUGAAACCUCUCGAAAAUCCUCCAACGAGGCAACGACUGGUUGUUGGUGAGCUCCGAUACACAUCUUCAGUUCUGAUUCUUCAAUCUGCAUUUGGUUUGAUCUGAAACAUCUGCUAUACUUGCUUGUUUCAUGUCUUUUUUUGGGUUCUGUCUAGCUGCGAUAGCUUACGGAUCACAUGCCAAGUCAAUUCUUAACUGUACAAUUUUCUUCUGAUAACAGUUUAUUUGCUGGAAAAGAGGUUGCUUCUGUGCUUGUAGGACAUCAUGUGAGAUGACAAGAAAUCUCAAAUGAAGAUAGUAAUUCAGCAAGGCCAGCGAGUCUAUUCUGUGGAAUGUUUAGUAGCCUUGUAAUUUAUAUGUACUGAAGGCCGGUGUCACCGUAGAAAGGGUGACCAAACUAUGAUCACGUUGCUGUCAGAUGGUGUUUCCAAACAAGUUCAACGAUGUAAGUUUAAGAGAAUGCAUGUGAUUGUUCUGUAGAUCUCAAAACAAAUAUUUCGAUUUUAGUUUCUUAUUCUCCAUUGUAACUUGAAUCUAUGUGGUUUCAUAAAUAAAAUCGGGGUGGAAUCCCUUCUUAAAAA